rnacentral:rRNA from 1 species
UACAUAGGGUGCAAGCGUUGUCCGGAAUUAUUGGGCGUAAAGAGCUCGUAGGUCGUUUGUUACGUCGGAUGUGAAAACCUGAGGCUCAACCUCAGGCCUGCAUUCGAUACGGGCAAACUAGAGUUUGGUAGGGGAGACUGGAAUUCCUGGUGUAGCGGUGGAAUGCGCAGAUAUCAGGAGGAACACCAAUGGCGAAGGCAGGUCUCUGGGCCAAUACUGUCACUGAGGAGCGAAAGUCUGGGGAGCGAACAGG